GACGAACGCUGGCGGCGUGCUUAACACAUGCAAGUCGAGCGAUGAAGCUCCUUCGGGAGUGGAUUAGCGGCGGACGGGUGAGUAACACGUGGGUAACCUGCCUCAUAGAGGGGAAUAGCCUUUCGAAAGGAAGAUUAAUACCGCAUAAGAUUGUAGCUUCGCAUGAAGCAGCAAUUAAAGGAGUAAUCCGCUAUGAGAUGGACCCGCGUCGCAUUAGCUAGUUGGUGAGGUAACGGCUCACCAAGGCGACGAUGCGUAGCCGACCUGAGAGGGUGAUCGGCCACAUUGGGACUGAGACACGGCCCAGACUCCUACGGGAGGCAGCAGUGGGGAAUAUUGCACAAUGGGGGAAACCCUGAUGCAGCAACGCCGCGUGAGUGAUGACGGUCUUCGGAUUGUAAAGCUCUGUCUUCAGGGACGAUAAUGACGGUACCUGAGGAGGAAGCCACGGCUAACUACGUGCCAGCAGCCGCGGUAAUAC
rnacentral:rRNA from 1 species